CAUUUGCUCUCUUUAUCUCUCUACAUCUCUAUCCUCUCAUCUCUCUUCAUCAGUGUUGCCUCUAUUUCCCUUACUCUCACUCUUCCCCUAGUUCUCAGCUUCUUUAUCACUUUCUUCCACAAGAACCCCUUGUCUCCCAACUCUCUGUUUCUUCCACUGUUUCUAUUUCUCAACUUCUCUCUCCUUCCCAUCUCCACAAGAACCCCCUGCUUCUUAGCUUCUUCAUUACUUUCUUCAGAUCAGAGAGAGAAUUUCAGAUCAACUUCAUCUUCGUCUUCAGAUCAAUGCAUUUUAGAUCAACUUCAUCUUCGGAUCAAUUUCAUCUUUGCAUCUAUGAGCUUCGGAUCGAUAAGACUUUCUCUCAUCUUCAUCUUCGGAUCAACUUUCUAUCAUCCUCUCCCUCUAUCUUCUCUCAUUCAAAGUCGAUUCUCUCUCUCUCUCUCUCUCUCUCUCUCUCUCUCUCUCUCUCUCUCAUUCUCCAGAACUAUCACUAGAUCAUCCACUUAUCCCUAUCCCUUGAAGCCUUAAACCCCCUAUCUACCUAUCUUUCAAAGCCUUAACCCCCAUCUUCAAUCCUCUUCUCCAACCCCCAAUGGUCAUAUUCCUUCAAAUUGGCCUUCUGAUAGAGAAGAUGAAUAUUGGAGAAAUUUGUAUAAAUUCAACUUUCAAAGCCAGGUGAUGACGGUGUGCCUCCGCCGAGGUGAUGACAUGGAGGAUCUUUUGGGAGCAUGAGGCUCUAUCUUUCUUUGUUUUGUUGUACAUGCCAAUGGCUAAUAUGUAUGGGUUCAUAAGAACAAUUUUUGUUGUAACCAGACAAAGUCUUGGAAUUUAUAGACAUUGCAUUAUCUUGUAUUUAAGUUAAUUUAAUCACUUUUCUAUUAGAUGCUA